rnacentral:rRNA from 1 species
UGAGUAACACGUAUCCAACCUGCCGUCUACUCUUGGACAGCCUUCUGAAAAGGAAGAUUAAUACAAGAUGGCAUCAUGAGUCCGCAUGUUCACAUGAUUAAAGGUAUUCCGGUAGACGAUGGGGAUGCGUUCCAUUAGAUAGUAGGCGGGGUAACGGCCCACCUAGUCUUCGAUGGAUAGGGGUUCUGAGAGGAAGGUCCCCCACAUUGGAACUGAGACACGGUCCAAACUCCUACGGGAGGCAGCAG